UCUGGUUCAGGACGAACGCUGGCGGCGUGCUUCAUACAUGCAAGUCGAACGAGAAGCUCACUUCGGUGAGUGGAAAGUGGCGGACGGGUGAGUAAUAUGUAGAGAAUCUGCCCUAGAGAGAGGGACAACAGAGGGAAACUUCUGCUAAUACCUCAUAUGCGCGUAGCUGAGAUGCUAUUCGUGAAAACUCCGGUGCUCUAGGAUGAGUCUGCAUCUGAUUAGCUAGUUGGCGGUGUAAUGGACCACCAAGGCGACGAUCAGUAGCUGGUUUGAGAGGAUGAUCAGCCACAAUGGGACUGAGACACGGCCCAUACUCCUACGGGAGGCAGCAGUAGGGAAUUUUGCGCAAUGGGCGAAAGCCUGACGCCAGCAACGCCGCGUGAAUGAAGAAGCCCUUCGGGGUGUAAAGUUCUGUCAGUGGGGACGAAACUUGACGGUACCCACAGAGGAAGCACCGGCUAACUCCGUGCCAGCAGCAGC
rnacentral:rRNA from 1 species